CGUCCUGGCCCUCCCUGGCCAGUCGUCCACCACCACCUUCACCCGGCAGCCGCUGCAGUGGAACAACGGGAGGAUCACAGGCUACGUGAUAUUCCUCACCACGGACCAAACUGUCGGUGACUGGGUGAUGGGGGAAGUGACGGGGGACUGGCUCACCCUCACCGUCCAUGGACUGACGCCUUCAAGGAAGUAUUUGCACAAGAUGCACUCUCACAAUGUCAAAGGUUUUGGUCCAUUCUCCUCCGUGGAAAGCUUCACGACUCUUCCAGCUGUUGACAAGAGCAUCGGUGAGCCCCCUGGCUGGUGUGUGGAGCGAGAGGCCUGAUUGUGCUGGUGAUCGCUGGCGUGGCAGGAGCCAUGACUGGCUGGGGGCCUUCUUGGCCACCACACUGUACUGCCACGGGUCAAGGCGGAGCC